rnacentral:rRNA from 1 species
AGCGAACGCUGGCGGUAUGCUUAACACAUGCAAGUCGAACGGCAGCACCUUAAUUGCUUGCUCUUAUGGAUGGCGACUGGCGGACGGCUGAGGAAUACAUCGUAAUCUACUUUUUCGUGGGUGUUCACGUAGGGAAACUUACGCUAAUACCGCAUACGACCUACGGGUGAAAGCAGGCGAUCUUCGGACCCUGCUCGCUUGAAUGAGCCGAUGUCGGAUUAGCUAGUUGGCGGGGUAAAGGCCCACCAAGGCGACGAUCCGUAGCUGGUCUGAGAGGCUGAUCAGCCACACUGGAACGGGGACACGGUCAAGACGCCUAAGAGAAGGAGCAGUGGGAAAUGGUAGAAAAUGGGAGGGAGCCUGAUCCAGACGUAGCGAGUGGGUGAAGAAGACGUUCGGGUUGGAAAGCCCUUUUGUUGGGAAAGAAAAGCAGCAGGUUAGGACGCAGCGGUUGUGACGGUACCCAAAGAAGAAGCACCGGCUAACUUCGUG